AUGUUCAAGCUCUGCAACUUGAAGCCAGUUUUGGCAACCACCUUUCCUGUGCCAGAUUUUAGCGACCAAGAUAUGUGUGAGAAGAUCAACUUUGCCAUUGACAAGAGCCUGUUCUUAUCAAGUGUUGCUGAAAAGAAUCAAGUUGACAUGGAGGAAGCAGGAAAGGGAGAUGCCCUGGUCCUUGAACUCAUACGAAGAUCAAAGUCUUAUCAUGGUGACGGGGUCUGCGAUGCACCAUCUUUUGACCUCGGCAUAGAUGGUCAUGCUCCAGCACCUUCUCCAGCAGCAGAAACAGUGGAAGCCGGUGUGAUUCGUGUUGAUGAGUGUGAGUUGGACCUAGCAGCUGUGAAUGAAGGAUGCGCUGCUGCUGAUGCUGGCAAGGCAAUAGCUCAAGAGCUAGAUGUUGGAUCACCAGAGAAUUGCCACACCCCGAUAUGCGCAGAACCAGAAGCUGGCACGAGCAGUUCUUUGGGACCACCUAUUGCACGAAGACAGAGGAGGGUAAUAAGGCCCGCAGCAUCUCAAAGGUCUCCAUUUAUUGACUACAACAAGAAGAAGACUUUCAGCUCCAAUGAGGCAGUGAACAAGCUUUACGCUUCCCUCUUGUAUUGGGUCAGGCAUCACGAAUGA
rnacentral:rRNA from 1 species